rnacentral:misc_RNA from 1 species
AAGUCGUAACAAGGUCUCCGUAGGUGAACCUGCGGAGGGAUCAUUAACACAUCCACACCCAACCAUUAUCAACCAAACCGUGAACCUAUUUUCUUUUUUAACCCCAUUUACCAAACUUGACUAACAAUAAUAAGAGAGACAUUGCACGUGCAUGUACAGUGGCUCGCCGCUGUGCUCUGCGCUGUGUGUCGCCUUAUUCAAAUUACAACAAACCAAAGAACAACUCUUAGCAAUGGAUAUCUUGGUUCUC